rnacentral:rRNA from 1 species
GGCCAGACUCCUACGGGAGGCAGCAGUGGGGAAUAUUGCACAAUGGGGGAAACCCUGAUGCAGCGACGCCGCGUGAGUGAAGAAGUACUUCGUUAUGUAAAGCUCUAUCAGCAGGGAAGAAAAUGACGGUACCUGAAGAAGAAGCCCCGGCUAACUAUGUGCCAGCAGCCGCGGUAAUACGUGGGGGGCAAGCGUUAUCCGGAUUUACUGGGUGUAAAGGGGGCGCAGACGGCGAUGCAAGCCAGGAGUGAAAGCCCGGGGCCCAACCCCGGGACUGCUCUUGGAACUGCGUGGCUGGAGUGCAGGAGGGGCAGGCGGAAUUCCUGGUGUAGCGGUGAAAUGCGUAGAUAUCAGGAGGAACACCGGUGGCGAAGGCGGCCUGCUGGACUGCAACUGACGUUGAGGCCCGAAAGCGUGGGGAGCAAACAGGAUUAGAUACCCUUGUA